GAUGAACGCUGGCUACAGGCUUAACACAUGCAAGUCGAGGGGAAACGACGGGGAAGCUUGCUUCCCCGGGCGUCGACCGGCGCACGGGUGAGUAACGCGUAUCCAACCUGCCUCUGACUGAGGGAUAACCCGUCGAAAGUCGGCCUAAUACCUCAUGGUAUCGUCUGCGGGCAUCCAACGACGAUUAAAGAUUUCAUCGGUCAGGGAUGGGGAUGCGUCUGAUUAGCUUGUUGGCGGGGUAACGGCCCACCAAGGCUACGAUCAGUAGGGGUUCUGAGAGGAAGGUCCCCCACAUUGGAACUGAGACACGGUCCAAACUCCUACGGGAGGCAGCAGUGAGGAAGAUUGGUCAAUGGGCGAGAGCCUGAACCAGCCAAGUAGCGUGCAGGAAGACGGCCCUAUGGGUUGUAAACGGCUUUUAUGCGGGGAUAAAGUGAGGGACGUGUCCCUCAUUGCAGGUACCGCAUGAAUAAGGACCGGCUAAUUCCGUG
rnacentral:rRNA from 1 species